rnacentral:lncRNA from 1 species
ACACAAGCUCUGCUGUCAGCCAUGUGGAAUGAAGCAUGCCGGGCCUCAUCUCGGACCUGCACACUGCCCCUCAUUAUGUUCAUGAUCGGGAAAUGGAUAAAGAGUGGCCAGAAGGUGAAAAAGAAGAGAUGGCCCCCUGAAAGGGACAUCCACAUUUAUUUGAGCACCUACCAGGAUACCUGCUUUGGGAGCCUUCUGCUGCUGCGUGAGAUCCCUGGCUACCCUGGAGAGACAUCAGACAACAAGUGAGAUGCCCAAGAGCCCUAGCUGUCUUUGUCUUUGCAGCCCAAGCUCCAGACAUGUACUGAAGAAGCUUUAAGGAUAAAUUCAGUCCCAACUACUCCCUGGCUACAACUAUGAGACAGACCCUCCCAAGUCAGAACUGCCUAGCCAAGCUCAGGCAACUCCAAGAUUUAAGAGCAAAAUAAAAGAUAGUUAUUGCUUUAA